GAGCAAAUACCUUUAAACUCUAAUAUAUGUUGCUUAUCUUGACAGAUAGACUGUCAAGACCAACCACACAUAUUAGAGUUUAAAGGUAUUUGCUCG
rnacentral:pre_miRNA from 11 species